rnacentral:rRNA from 1 species
AAAUUUGAAAACACCCUUUAAAGGGCCCCAAAAAAGGGGUUUUGGGGGGGGCCCCAACCCGGGGGUUUUGGAUCCCCCCCGGUUUAUUCCCCCCCCGUUUUUAAAACCGAUGGAAAUGUUUAAAAUUAUGGGGAAAGUUUUACUUUCUGUAUUACAGCUAACGCGUUAAACAUUCCGCCUGGGGACUACGGUCGCAAGAUUAAAACUCAAAGGAAUUGACGGGGACCCGCACAAGCGGUGGAGCAUGUGGUUUAAUUCGAUGCAACGCGAAAAACCUUACCACUCCUUGACAUGGAAAUUAUACCUAUUCGAAGGGAUAGGGUCGGUUCGUCCGGGUUUCACACAGGUGUUGCAUGGCUGUCGUCAGCUCGUGUCGUGAGAUGUUGGGUUAAGUCCCGCAACGAGCGCAACCCUCAUCCUUAGUUACCAUCAGGUAAUGCUGGGGACUUUAAGGAAACUGCCAGUGAUAAACUGGAGGAAGGUGGGGAUGAUGUCAAGUCAUCAUGGCCCUUAUGGAGUGGGCUACACACGUGCUACAAUGGUGGCUACAAUGGGCUGCAAAGUCGCGAGGCUAAGCUAAUCCCUUAAAAGCCAUCUCAGUUCGGAUUGUACUCUGCAACUCGAGUGCAUGAAGUUGGAAUCGCUAGUAAUCGUGGAUCAGCACGCCACGGUGAAUACGUUCUCGGGUCUUGUACACACUGCCCGUCACGCCAUGGGAAUUGGUUUCACUCGAAGCUAACGACCUAACCGCAAGGAGGGAGUUAUUUAAAGUGGGAUCGGUGACUGGGGUGAAGUCGUAACAAGGUAGCAGUAGGGGAAUCUGCGG